UACAGAGGUCCCAAGCGUUAUUCGGAUUCACUGGGCGUAAAGGGUGCGCAGGCGGCCGUGUGAGUGAGGCGUGAAAGCCCGAUGCUUAACAUCGGAAUUGCACCUCAAACUACACGGCUAGAGCAUUGGAGAGGGUAGCGGAAUUCACGGUGUAGCAGUGAAAUGCGUAGAUAUCGUGAGGAACACCAGAGGCGAAGGCGGCUACCUGGACAAUUGCUGACGCUCAGGCACGAAAGCGUGGGGAGCAAAAGGG
rnacentral:rRNA from 1 species